CAGUAGCCGCGGGAAUACGUAGGUGGCAAGCGUUGUCCGGAAUUAUUGGGCGUAAAGGGCUCGCAGGCGGUUUCUUAAGUCUGAUGUGAAAGCCCCCGGCUCAACCGGGGAGGGUCAUUGGAAACUGGGAAACUUGAGUGCAGAAGAGGAGAGUGGAAUUCCACGUGUAGCGGUGAAAUGCGUAGAGAUGUGGAGGAACACCAGUGGCGAAGGCGACUCUCUGGUCUGUAACUGACGCUGAGGAGCGAAAGCGUGGGGAGCGAACAGGAUUAGAUACCCCUGUAGUCCCUGUCUCUUAUAA
rnacentral:rRNA from 1 species